CUCACUCAGCUUCCUGCGCGCUGAGACAUGUGGCAAUUCAGGCUGCUUGCUUGGGAGAUAACAUGCAGGGACACCCCCCACCAUGGCCUGGCUGAGGCAGGUGCAGGGUAAAGUGCCCACCAGGAUCCUGAGACCAAACAGAGAUUUUGAUUUCUACUGAAGUGGUUGCUGGUUUGUAUGUUGCAGUGGGGAACAAUAAAGCAGUGUCUAUACUGGCAAUUUCAGUGCUAACACUUUUGUCACUCAGCGGUGUGAACACCCCCCCACCCCAUCC